UCCUCGGUAGUAUAGUGGUGAGUAUCCGCGCCUGUCACGUGCGAGACCCGGGUUCAAUUCCCGGCCGGGGAG
rfam:Ancylostoma duodenale strain Zhejiang A_duodenale-1.0_Cont249087.1, whole genome shotgun sequence.